rnacentral:rRNA from 1 species
GGGUCCGGACACACUGAGGAUUGACAGGCAAAAGAUACAAGUUUUCUUUGUGAGAGCUUGCAUUGUAAAAUAUGCGAGUCCUUUCAUGAUUAUGUGAUAGGUGGUGCAUGGCCGUUCUUAGUUCGUGGAGUGAUCUGUCUGCUUAAUUGCGUUUCACAACGAUUUAAAAUGCUAUGUUUUCUGUGUUUGCUGUUCGGUUUUAGCUCUUACGGGAGUUUUUAACUUUGAACGCACACGGCGUAGCUUAAAACAAUCGGAAAGCAACGAACGUGACCGCAACCUCUUGUUGCCUUUAUUUUUAAAAGCGUGGAAAAUUUUAUAUUUUCCUACGCUUGAAAAAGGCUUUAAAACUAGAGGGACCGCUGUUCUAUUCUCUUAAACCAGAGGAAGAUUGCGGCAAUAACAGGUCUGUGAUGCCCUCAGAUGUUCCGGGCUGCACACGUGCUACAAUGAUUGUUGCAGUGAGCAUCUAUUUUCAAACGCUACCGUUGCGGAUUUUGUGAGAAGGGGGAUUUGUUUUAAAGCUUCGGCAGAGAAGCAGGUUCUUUUUUUUCACAAUUUAUUCCGCGUUACGUGUCAGCUAAACCUGCUUCGAAAGCAAGUAGGU